CUUGAUGAAAUUGUAUUUCCAGAUGUACCGGCUUGUCUCUACUUUAACUUUGAGAAAAUGUUCCAGAUCUUUGGAGUUUGCGCAUUUUCUGGCAGAUCUCAAAACUGUCCAGCAAGCUUCUUCCUCUAUUUUCUUCUCUACUAAAUUUAACAUCAAACAUUCAAGAUGUUUGUCAACAACCUCACAAUUCCACGCUAAG